ACAAUUUUCGAUUCAAACCGUGGUCAAUCGAUGCGGAAUCGUUUGUUAGUUCCGAAUAUAUACUAAGUAAAACGUUUGUUAGGUAUCGCUAAAAAAAGCGAAAAACUGUAUAUCGUUUAGCUGCCGGAGAGUGGGGAUUUGUCGUCCAGUUCAUAUACAGAGAGGCGGAAAAGCCGCCGGUGUCAUUCUCAUUGAUUCGCAUUAAUUCUUGUACAUAGUUCCGGCGCAACCUACUGUGAUAAAUAUUCCGGAAUCUUUGGCAUAGCAUUUUACUACGACGCAGUUUACGAAUAUUCCGAACCGAGAAUAUUACGAACAAAGAAACCUCAAUAACGGAAUAAAGUGAAUAAUACCAUAGAGAAAACAGUAAACGAAGUAAAUAUAAGCAGAGAAGUCGCGGACGGCUUGCGUAUAUAUUUCGAUUUCGCAUAUUACCUCAUCUCCUGUUAUAUAGGAUGGAGAGCAGAUUCGGCGAUAGGCGGCAUUCAAGUGAGGUGAAGGACAAGCAAGAUCUACCAAAUAAAAAUAAGAUUGAAUUAAACAUGGAAAAAAAGCCAAGUUUAGGAUCGCUAACAUUAAGCAUUACGGAUAGUUUUUUGAUAGCGACCAAUAUUUGCUCAACUAAAUUAACCCAGAAUGUAGACUUAUUAGAUUUACUUAAUUGAGCAUCGCACAAUACGGACUUAAAAGAAUCUUUAGCUGCUUCAAUGAAAGUUGACGGGGAGGAAAUAGUGAAGUUUCUGCAGGAUGUUUUGGAUGCUUUAUUUAAUAUCUUAAUGAGUAAUUCAGACAGUGAUGUCUACGAUGACAUGGUCUUUGAGUGCCUUUUAUAUAUUAUCGGACUCGUAUCCGAUAGAAAGUACCAGCACUUUCAACCAGUAUUAGAUUUAUAUAUUUCUGAGAGCUUCUCUGCAACUCUUGCAUAUAAGACAUUAAUUCCGGUAUUACGCAAGCGUAUAGAUAACGUCAACAACGGCGAUGGACAGGAACGAGAUUAUUGCUUAAGACAAUGAAAAGUCUCCAAUUUUCUCACUUUCUUAUGAUCCGCUUUAGAUAAAAAAAAAGAAAAAGAGUAAAUUCAAAACGCCACGAUUAACAGUAAUUAAUGUUUAAUUUCGAAGUCUGUCACUUUACAUAGUAAUAAACAAACGUCAUAGAUCAUAUAUCAUAUCAAAUUGUAUAUCGCAUAUCCGCAUAUACAUAUAUAUAUA